rnacentral:rRNA from 1 species
GACGAACGCUGGCGGCGUGCUUAACACAUGCAAUUCGAACGGAAAGGCCCUGCUUUUGUGCGGUCCACGCUUGGCAAACAGGUGCGUAACAAGUUAGUAACCUGCCCUUUAAUUUGGGAUAACUUCUGGAAACUGGGGCUACUACCGCUUACUACCUCAUGCUGCUUGGUGGGGGUUGGAAAGUUUCGGCGGUUGGGGAUGGACUCGGGGCUUAUCAUCUUGUUGGUGGAGUAGUGGCUUACGAAGGAUUUGCCGGGUAUCCGGCCUGAGCGGGUGACAGGAUAAAUAGAAACUGAAGUCAGGCCCAGACUUCUACGGGAGGCAGUAGGCGGGAAUAGUGCACAAUGGGCGGAAGCCUGAUGCAGUAACUCUGCGUGUGGGAUGAUGGUCUUCGGGUUGUAAACCGCUUUGGCAUGUGACGAAGCGUGAGAGACGGUAAUGGGUAAAGAAGCACCGGCUCACUACGUG